GAUAAUGAAUAUCUAGCUAUGUUUUUUAUAUUACUAAACGUAGUUUACUCAAUGAAUUGCUGUGUGUAGUCUUUGCCUGUCAGCCCAUGAUAGGCUUUUUUUUUA
rnacentral:other from 1 species